AUGGAAACCAAAAAAUUGAUUGGUAAACCGCUUCAACCAGCAAGACCUGUUCGUCAUCUGGCUUCUUCCCCAGUGUAAGACGAAUGGAAUGCAAACUUUUUCUCAAGGUCUUACUGAACAGCAGCAACAUCAGUCUCCAGUUAAAAAAGAGAGAAUUAAAUACAGCAGAGAUUUCCUGUUGAAGCUCUCAAGUGUUUCCAUCUGCAGAAAAAAACCAGAUUUUCUGCCUGAUCAUCCCAUUGUACUUAAAAAACCAGAAAACAACCAAAGUUUUAACUAGUGCUUUAAGAACAGAUGAAUUUGAAGAUAAAGAAUUAUUUGUUUUAUAUUUUGGACACCUGCAAAUGAAGUGGAUCUAGUAGCAAUAAAUAUAAUGGACUGUGACAAUUCAUUUUAUUUUUAAUUUUGAUGGUUGGCUAUUUGGUUUCUCCUAAAAUGAGAAAGAUAUUUUACACUAUAAAGAAUUUUCUAAUCAAUUUCAGCUUUGCAGGCAGUUUCCUGCAUAAAUUGCGAAGUAACACUGGAAAAUAGGAAUUUGGUUAGUGAACUGGGAAGAUUGUAAUUUGCAUGCUACUUGCAACAUUUGUGCUUCAUCACUUGUAAUAAUGGAAUGGACAUGUAAGCUGUAAAGAUUCUCAAAUAUAAAGCAUUUGCUACAAUGUAAAAAAAAAA